AUUGAAGAGUUUGAUCAUGGCUCAGGAUGAACGCUGGCGGCGUGCCUAAUACAUGCAAGUCGAACGAAACUUCUUUAUCACCGAGUGCUUGCACUCACCGAUAAAGAGUUGAGUGGCGAACGGGUGAGUAACACGUGGGCAACCUGCCCAAAAGAGGGGGAUAACACUUGGAAACAGGUGCUAAUACCGCAUAACCAUAGUUACCGCAUGGUAACUAUGUAAAAGGUGGCUAUGCUACCGCUUUUGGAUGGGCCCGCGGCGCAUUAGCUAGUUGGUAGGGUAAAGGCUUACCAAGGCAAUGAUGCGUAGCCGAACUGAGAGGUUGAUCGGCCACAUUGGGACUGAGACACGGCCCAAACUCCUACGGGAGGCAGCAGUAGGGAAUCUUCCACAAUGGGCGAAAGCCUGAUGGAGCAACGCCGCGUGGGUGAAGAAGGUCUUCGGAUCGUAAAACCCUGUUGUUAGAGAAGAAAGUGCGUGAGAGUAACUGUUCACGUUUCGACGGUAUCUAACCAGAAAGCCACGGCUAACUACGUGCCAGCAGCCGCGGUAAUACGUAGGUGGCAAGCGUUAUCCGGAUUUAUUGGGCGUAAAGGGAACGCAGGCGGUCUUUUAAGUCUGAUGUGAAAGCCUUCGGCUUAACCGGAGUAGUGCAUUGGAAACUGGGAGACUUGAGUGCAGAAGAGGAGAGCGGAACUCCAUGUGUAGCGGUGAAAUGCGUAGAUAUAUGGAAGAACACCAGUGGCGAAAGCGGCUCUCUGGUCUGUAACUGACGCUGAGGUUCGAAAGCGUGGGUAGCAAACAGGAUUAGAUACCCUGGUAGUCCACGCCGUAAACGAUGAAUGCUAAGUGUUGGAGGGUUUCCGCCCUUCAGUGCUGCAGCUAACGCAAUAAGCAUUCCGCCUGGGGAGUACGACCGCAAGGUUGAAACUCAAAGGAAUUGACGGGGGCCCGCACAAGCGGUGGAGCAUGUGGUUUAAUUCGAAGCAACGCGAAGAACCUUACCAGGUCUUGACAUCUUUUGACAAUCCUAGAGAUAGGACUUUCCCUUCGGGGACAAAAUGACAGGUGGUGCAUGGUUGUCGUCAGCUCGUGUCGUGAGAUGUUGGGUUAAGUCCCGCAACGAGCGCAACCCUUAUUGUUAGUUGCCAGCAUUAAGUUGGGCACUCUAGCAAGACUGCCGGUGACAAACCGGAGGAAGGUGGGGAUGACGUCAAAUCAUCAUGCCCCUUAUGACCUGGGCUACACACGUGCUACAAUGGACGGUACAACGAGUCGCAAGACCGCGAGGUUUAGCAAAUCUCUUAAAGCCGUUCUCAGUUCGGAUUGUAGGCUGCAACUCGCCUACAUGAAGUCGGAAUCGCUAGUAAUCGCGGAUCAGCAUGCCGCGGUGAAUACGUUCCCGGGCCUUGUACACACCGCCCGUCACACCAUGAGAGUUUGUAACACCCAAAGCCGGUGGGGUAACCUUUUGGAGCCAGCCGUCUAAGGUGGGACAGAUGAUUAGGGUGAAGUCGUAACAAGGUAACC
rnacentral:rRNA from 1 species